CAUUAUAAUACUACAUAAAAAAAAUAUUUUUAGUAGAAAAAAAUAUUUUCACAAUUUAUAUUUUUAAUCAUUCUUUAACAAUAAUGGAAAUAUAUUAAUUAAAGUAAAAAAAGUUAUUAUAAAAAUGAAGAAAGAAAUGCAAAUUAAAAAAAGAUAAAUUAUUUAAUGAAAUUAUUAUAAGAUAUUUAAAAUAACACUUUUGAAAAUUAUUCAUCCUCAAUUUUUUUAAAAGAAAUAAAUAAUAAAUCAAGCAAUAAAAUAAUAAAUCUAUGAAAAACAUAUAAAAAAUCAAUAUGUUAUAAGACAUCAAAAAUUCAUAAAAAAAAAAUUAUAAAAAUUUAAGUUAAAUUUUUGAUUUGACUUGAUUAGGUUAAAAACACAUCUGAAGAAAUAAAAUAUGUAUUUUUUUUCUUCUAUCAAUUAUUUCAUUUCCUUAAAUCAUUUGUAAUGUAAAGAUGAAAGAUUGGAUAGACAAAGAAAUACAAAUCUAAUUUAUUUUUGAUAAAUUUCAAACUAUUACUAUUAUUAUAUGUCUAUAACCAAUAAAGAAGUUUAUUACCUAUAACUGUUCAUUAUCUAUAUGGCGUUAUUCCGUUAAUUGUAUUUUUAUUUUUAUGACAUGAUUUUGUUAUAUGACAUGAUAUAUUGAAAUCAUUCUUAUUUUAUUUUUUUGAUUCAUAUUUAAGAAUUAUACAAAAUUUUCUACUUAUUCAUAGUAUGCAUAUGUAUAAAAUUUUUUAUCUUGCUAUUUAUAAAUAUUUCAAAAUUAAAAAUAAUUAAAAAUUUAAAAAUAUUAUAUUAUAAAUUUCUUCGAAUUGAAGGUGACACUAUUAAUAAAUGACUAUGUGUAUUAUAAAAGUCAAUUGGAUUCAAAAAAGUCAACAAUCACAUGGUCAUUCAUAUCAAUCAUAUUUGCAAUAAUAGAAUAUCUAAAAUUUAUAGAAUAUCUCAAAUGUAUUUUAUUUUUUUAUGUUCAACUAGCAAAAGCAACAAUAGUAAAACUUUCAACAGUAUAAAAAAUAUUGCAGCAAAUCCAAAGUAUGUAAAUUAGUUCUACAAAAAGAAAUUAAAAAAAUGUGAAUUUUGUUCAGAAUUGCAGAAUUUAUAAUUAUAUAAUUAAAAUUUAUAUUGAAAAUAUUUAUCAAGUGAAGUAAAUGGAAAGUGCUAAAUAGAAAUACCAUUAAGAUAAAAAACAAAUGCAAUUGAAACUAAUCAUAAAUUGAAAUAAACAUAUUAAAUCCUCAUAAAAUUGAAAGAGGGACAAAGUGAUUAUAUAUGUUUAAUGAAUUAAUUAAAUUAUUAAAUAAAUUUUAUUUAAUUAUUAAAUAAAUUUCCUCUAUUAUUCAUUAUAAAAAUUUUAAUUCUUAUCAUAGAAUCAUUGUUAAUAAAAAUAAUUAAAGUUUAAUGAUUAGUUCAAUGUUAAUGAUUGAAAGCAAUGGAUCAAUCCUUUUUAAUCUAUUUAAUAGAAACUUUAUUUGGAAUAUUGUCAAAUGCUGCUGUGCAAAAAAUAGACAAUUGUAAUAUUUUUCUAAUUAUUGCUGAAAAUGAAUUUUUAAAAGAUAUUUUAUGCAAUAUAUGUGAUUUGGAAUGUGACAUAAUAAUAAAAAUAUAUUUUUAAUAUAUUA